AUUGAACGCUGGCGGCAGGCCUAACACAUGCAAGUCGAGCGGGGUUUUCGGACCUAGCGGCGGACGGGUGAGUAAUGCGUAGGAAGCUGCCCGAUAGAGGGGGAUACCAGUUGGAAACGACUGUUAAUACCGCAUAAUGUCUACGGACCAAAGUGUGGGACCUUCGGGCCACAUGCUAUCGGAUGCGCCUACGUGGGAUUAGCUAGUUGGUGAGGUAAUGGCUCACCAAGGCGACGAUCUCUAGCUGGUUUGAGAGGAUGAUCAGCCACACUGGAACUGAGACACGGUCCAGACUCCUACGGGAGGCAGCAGUGGGGAAUAUUGGACAAUGGGCGCAAGCCUGAUCCAGCCAUGCCGCGUGUGUGAAGAAGGCCUUCGGGUUGUAAAGCACUUUCAGCGGGGAGGAAGGGUUAGUCGUUAAUAGCGGCUAAUUUUGACGUUACUCGCAGAAGAAGCACCGGCUAACUCUGUGCCAGCAGCCGCGGUAAGAC
rnacentral:rRNA from 1 species